AUUGAACGCUGGCGGAAUGCCUAACACAUGCAAGUCGAGCGGGGGUAGCAAUACUUCAGCGGCGGACGGGUGAGGAACACAUAGGAAUCUACCUUUAGGUGGGGGAUAGCCAGGGGAAACUCUGGGUAAUACCGCAUGAUCUCGAGAGAGCAAAGGGGCGCAAGUCUCGCCUUUAGAGGAGCCUAUGUCUGAUUAGCUAGUUGGCGGUGUAAUGGACCACCAAGGCGAUGAUCAGUAACUGGUCUGAGAGGACGAUCAGUCACACCGGAACUGAGACACGGUCCGGACUCCUACGGGAGGCAGCAGUGGGGAAUAUUGGACAAUGGGCGAAAGCCUGAUCCAGCAAUUCCGCGUGUGUGAAGAAGGCCUUCGGGUUGUAAAGCACUUUAGUUGGGGAAGAAACAGCUUGGCCACACCAAGCCUUGACGGUACCCAAAGGAUAAGCACCGGCUAACUCUGUGCCAGCAGCCGCAGUAAAAC
rnacentral:rRNA from 1 species